ensembl:lncRNA
GCGGCCGGGAGCCGGCUGAAGGCGGCGGCCGCGGCCCGGCUGAACCGGCUCAAGAAGAAGCAGUACGUGCUGGGGCUGGAGAGCCGCCUGCAGGGCCUGGCCGCUGAGAACCGGCAGCUGCGGGACCGCAACCGGGGGCUGAACCGGCGCCUGCGGGAUCUGGAGCGGGAGACCAGCUACCUACGGGCGGUCCUGGCCAACCAGAGCGCCCUGGGGCAGCUGCUGAGCCGCCUUGCCGGGGCGGGGGGGCUCCGGCUCCGUACCAGCCUCUUCAGGGACACGGACCCGCCCCAUCAGUACCCGCCACAGGCUGGCGAGAGCCGCGACCACGACUACGCCCUGCCGAGCAUGGAUGCAGGGGAGCCGGAGGAGCGGCCGGCCUCUGGUGGGAUCUGCCUCCACGUGGACAGGGAUCAGCUGUCGGUGGAGUUCUGCUCCCUGUGUGCCAGGCGGGCAUGUGCCUCCUUCAAAAUUUUCUUUUUUAGGUGCUUGCCCUGCCAGGCUCCGUUGUGUAGGGGUUAAAGAACAGUCGUUUUCCACCUCGCAACCUGUGGAUACAGCUGUGUUGGGGCAGAAGAGACGGGACCAGCUGCUGGCCACAUUUCCUGCUUUAUUUUAAAAGGUAGUAUAAGAAAUGGGGAAAAAGAGGUAACAGGGCUUCUGCUGUCUUUCAUUUUUGAAAAGCUUGAAUGUUUGGAAAAACUAAUCUCACCAGUCCAAAGUUAGUGUGAUACUAAUUUGAAAAGUGACUAUGUACAAAGGUAAUUUUUUACUUCUGCUUUCUUUGUAUUCGGAGUUACAUGUUCACAGAAAUACAGAGCCAGCACAGCUAAGAACUAGUUAGCUGUGGAUUCUAUUCCAUCAUAAGCCGUAUCAGCCAGAUUGUCUAUUGGAGUUCCAGUUUUUUACACUUAUACAACCCCGUUGUAGGCAGUGGGUUAGUCCAAGUGUCAUUAAGAGCCUAAUUUAACCUUUAGAGCUCUUAUUUUUGGUGAUAUGUGAGCAGGGAAGAACUGGACUAAUUGAGUCUAGACUGAGUUUGUAGGGCUCAUAGUUGGAGAAACACAUCUUUACUUAUAAUCAUCUUAUUCAACAAAAAUAUUAAAACAGUAAGCAUGAAAGACUGCCAUGGCAUUUUUAGUCACCUUAACUUAAAUGUGACACUAUCUUGCUCUGUAAUGGGAUUCCCCCUUUUUGCACAAUUAUAAACAUUUUGUUGUUGGAUCAAAGCAAUCUGGACUCUAAUAUGCACAUGUGCAUCACUGUGUUCUGUAAAAUCUAAUACAUAUGAGCAACAGCUAAUUUUACAACAUGCAAAAUGUGUGCCUGUACAACUAAGAGCAGGCUCUCCGGCCGCCCCCCCCAAAAAAAAAAAAAAGAAUGUGACUGCAAAAUGAUGUGUGCCUGUACAACUAAGAGCAGGAUCCAUCCCCAAGAUGUGACUGCAGGGAUUUUUAGUGCCUUCUGAAUCAUAUGUAAGCCAAACAGAGGGGAACAUUCUUUGAAUGCUAAUCAAUUUGUGCUAUCUGUAUGGAAUAUUGUUAAAUAUAGCUUUUUGAAGCAGAAGCCUUGAACUGAUAUCUUAACAAUACUUGAAAAACUUGUAAAUGUUUCUUGUAAUUAGCUCUGUGCCGUACAAAUAAGAAUACAAUACUAUAAUAAAACCAG